rnacentral:rRNA from 1 species
GACGACGCUGGCGGCGCGCUUAACACAUGCAAGUCGUGCGGUGUGGGAAGGCAAGUCUUACGACAAGCCUUCGACACAGCGGCGAACGGGUGAGUAACACGUGAGUAGCUGUCCUAAGGAGGGGGAUAACGCCUGGAAACGGGUGCUAAUACCCCAUAUGCCUCGCAAGAGGUGAAAGUGUACUUGCUACAGCCUUAGGGUGUGCUCGCGGCCUAUCAGCUAGUUGGUGAGGUAACGGCUCACCAAGGCUAAGACGGGUAGCCGGCCUGAGAGGGUGUACGGCCACACUGGAAUUGAGAUACGGUCCAGACUCCUACGGGAGGCAGCAGUGGGGAAUCUUGGGCAAUGGGCGAAAGCCUGACCCAGCGACGCCGCGUUGGGGAUGAAGCCCUUCGGGGCGUAAACCCAUGUUGUAGGGGACGAAGAAAGUGACGGUACCCUACGAGAAAGCCCCGGCCAACUACGUG